AACCUUAUGGACCUGCGGGCGUAUACCUGCGGAGGGAUCAUUACGGAAUAAACCUGAUAAGCUGUUGCUGGCUCACAAGAGUGAGCAAGUGCACGUUUGUCAUUUUUAUGUUUCCACCAUGUGCACUUUGCAUAGGUCUGAAGGUUUAUUCGAUCAGAGCUUACUUUUGAUCGUUUGGAAUUUGCCAUUACAAUAAUGGCUCUUUCUGACUUCAGUGCUUAUGAUUUAUUUAAAUACACC
rnacentral:misc_RNA from 1 species